rnacentral:rRNA from 1 species
CAUAGGUGGCGAACGUUAUCCGGAAUUAUUGGGCGUAAAGGAUGCGUAGAUGGUAGAAUAAGUUAUUGGUCGAUGCCAAACUCAAUUUGGCGGAAGCUGGUAAUACUGUUCAACUAGAGGGCAGGAGAGGUUGAUGGAAUUCUGGUGUGGAGCGGUGAAAUGCGUUGAUCUGCAGAGAAACACCAAAAAAGGUGAAGGCAGUCAACUAUUCUCGUUCCUGACAUUGAGGCAUGAAAGCGUGGGGAGCAAACCGGAUUAGAUACCCGGGUAGUCCACGCCCUAAACGAUGAGCAUUAGAUAUUAGGCAUUUGCUUAGUGUCGCAGCUAACGCUUUAAAUGCUCCGCCUGGGUACUACGGUCGCAAGGCUA